UACGUAGGGGGCGAGCGUUUGUUCGGAAUUAUUGGGCGUAAAGAGCUUGUAGGCGGUUUGUCGCGUCUGCUGUGAAAAUCCGGGGCUCAACCCCGGACUUGCAGUGGGUACGGGCAGACUAGAGUGUGGUAGGGGGAGACUGGAAUUCCUGGUGUAGCGGUGAAAUGCGCAGAUAUCAGGAGGAACACCGAUGGCGAAGGCAGGUCUCUGGGCCACUACUGACGCUGAGGAGCGAAAGCGUGGGGGAGCGAACAGG
rnacentral:rRNA from 1 species